CCGUGGCCGGAGCACCACUACCUCAGACCUGGACCACUGGGCCUGGACCCGUUGGCCUCUGCAUGGCGGCCCAGGCUCAGCCGCUGCUGGUGGCCACACAGCUGUGUCACUGCCUGUGCUCGUGCUCGGAAAGCAGAACAGGCCCGUUUGAAGGCUGGCGGGUGAAGAUUAUGUGCCUGGCGCCUAGAAACAGUACUCAGGCUCCUGGUCCCUGGCUGGAGCUAAAAGCAAAGGUUCUGUUUUUAAGUCAGUUUCCAGGCAAAAAAGAAAUUGCUCUGUGCCAGACGGUGAACAGCUACUUUCAACUGGCGCCCUCAGAGAUGCGAUCUGGAUGACCACGGAGCAGAGUUCACCUGGCUCCUGCUAACACAGCACAGGCUGCUCGCCUGCUCUGUGGCUCUGCUACCAUGCCCUUCUCCCCAGAGAAAGAGAAGACACACAGAGAAGGGCCUUGCCGCCAGCCGCACAGCUAAAAGGAGAGGACCAGGCCAGGGUGGAGGACAAACGUACUUUUCAUGACACAGCCAAUUGCUAUAAAAGCCCUGCAAGGGAGAGACCAGCACUAUUCUACAAGUCACAGCAAUGAAGCUGAGGUCUAGGAUAAUUUGACAAAGCAUCAAGUUGGAAGAGGGGGACAGUUGUCUGACCAGAUACCCAGAGCUGAGGUCCCCAAUGCAGCGACACACAGCACACUGCCUUCCACAGGGGCUGAGUGCAGCAAGGAUGACCGAGCCCUGGGCCUGAGGCUCUGAGCGUCAGUGUCAGCCACUCGGGCUCACUCUCUAAGGGCAGUCAAGUCCAAGUCAUAGCCAUAGAAAAAAGUCUUUCUCCUUCAGACAGGGCUGAACUGGGGGUCCCACUUCAAGUCUGACUCUUUGCUUAUGUGAAUAUAUAGAUACUGUAUACCAGAUCCCGGCUUCCCCAGCCCCCAGCUGUGGCCAGGUCUGGGCUUCCUCGGAGACAAAGGCGGACAGUGUCCAGGCUGUCAUAGAGCUUGUCCCCAUGAGCUCUUCUGGCUGCCAUGUGCCCAGUGGUGCCAAAUUCAUGGUCAUGCUUAGAAAACCACAAGUCACUCUGUGGCAGGACUGUGCUAGGGCUGGGACCUGGCUGGGGAGGAGGCAAGGACUGGCUGACAACUGAGUGAAAGCCUGCUCUCAAUGUAGUGCCGCUGAGUCAGGAGUGCCAGCAUCUGAAGGCACCAGUGCACAUCUCUGGAGGACUUGUAAACAAAGCCCUGAGCGAUGAGCCCACAGAAAGCAGAUUCCAGCACUGGACGGUGCCCAAGCCCAGCGACAGCUUCUUCCUCCUGUCUGCACUCUGAGGAUAGCCGGGGAGGCCGUCUGCUUCUCAAUAGCGAUGCGAGUCCUGCACAUCUGUAUCUGCUUACGGGAAGGAGGCUGUGAGCACGGAGCAGGCGGGCGGCGGAGAUGAGAGCGCGUCGGAGCACGGAGGCACUGGUGGCCAGCGGGAAUGGGCGCAUGAUUUAGAGCAUCCAUGUGUGCUUGGCAGAAGAGACCCUGGGCAAAAGUCUGUGUUGUCAAGCAAGAGAGCACGGUUUGGUUUUUAUACUGCAGUAUUUUAGAGAAAAAAAAAAAAUGGAGAGAAAUUCUAGAGAACUUAUCCAGAAAAAAGAGCAAAGGAGAGGGGAGGGCAGAGAAGGCUGGGCAACUGGCGCCUGUGCAGGAACCUGGGGGCAGGAGUGGUCUUUUACUUGGAACUCUCAGAGAAACCGGGUCUGUAAUGACGCUGCAAGUGACAGAGCAAAGCAGUGACAGCCCUCCAGGAGCCAUCUGCAAACGAUGCGUCCAUCUCCAAGGUGGACAUUGGUGAGGCACAGGUGGAGGCACUGUGUCUCACCUCUGAAUGCAAUGCAGACAACCAUCAGCAGGACCUCUGUGUGCCAAACUUGGACUUUUAGUGUUGCUUGGGUUUUAAAGGCCACAUAAGUGAUGGGAACACAAUCGUCUAGGGAAUCCACAAAUAGCUUUUAGCACAGCCAUAAAUCUGGAUUUCAUGCCUCAUAGUUUUCAACAACUCUGAGAAGCACGUCAGGACCCGAGCCUGCGCUCUUCCCGGCACGGCCGGAGGCUGGCUGCCUGUCUACCCGCACCCAGCCACAGCAGGGGGACUGCCUUGCAUGCUUUUUUGGAAAUCAAGAUGAAGGGCCUGUGGAAAUCACUCCUUGGUCUCAUUAAACGUUUUAUUUGAUCCUUAUUUGAUAGUAUCAAGUUUGAGAGUAUAGGCAACUACGUUAAAGGCAAUAAGAUUCACUAUGAUGCCCAUUCUGGUUUGACUUAUUAUCUUCUUUUGAAGUCCUGUAAGGUCUCCAAUGUUUAGGUUUUAUUGGUUUUGUUCUAUAUUGUUUUGUUCAAUUUUAUUAUACCUGAUGAUAUAGGCAACUCGUUUUAAGAUAGUAAGAGGCUUUAUGGUAACCACUGUUGAUCACCUGGCAUUCUGUUUUUACAUCAUGUACUAUGUCCAUCCUUUUGUUUUGACUGACUCUGUUUUGUUUUGUCACAUUUGGUUUUAUUCUCUUCAAAAAAAAAAGUAGUAAGAACUAUGGGAGUAAUAAAACCCAAAAUGUGUAAUUGUUAUUGUAAAAAAGAGAGGAAAAGAAAGUGCUCUAAAGGAUAUAACUGCAUGUAUAUUUAAGUGUGUAAGAUAGAAAACCGUAUUACUAAAUUUUGUUGGAUCAUUGAACAGAAUUGUUUGCAAUCUCACUGUGUGAAUGUCCACUUUGUAUGCUUUAAAAUUUUGUAAUUUGAACAACUAUUUCUAAGAUGACAAUAUGUAAUCUAUUAACUAGUGGUUUCUUACUGUUUAUUUUUUUGAAAUUCUGUAUUACUUG